CCAGCAGCCGCGGUAAUUCCAGCUCCAAUAGCGUAUAUUAACGUUGUUGCAGUUAAAAAGCUCGUAGUUGAAGUGUGGGUGAUCGCUGUUGUGAGACUUCGGUCUCUCGACAGUAAGUCACCCCCUUCCAGUAUCCAGUAGUGGGUAUUCAGUUACUUACUAUUGUGUGUUGGUCGUUUACUGUGAGAAAAUUAGAGUGUUCAAAGCAGGCGUUUGCUUGAAUAGAUUAGCAUGGAAUAAUAAUUGAAGGCUUUCGUGUUCGAUUUGAUUGGUUUGUUCAUGGAAGCAAGGUUAAAAGGAACAGUUGGGGGUAUUCAUAUUCACUAGUUAGAGGUGAAAUUCUCGGAUUUAUGGAAGAUGAACAAGUGCGAAAGCAUUUACCAAGGAUGUUUUCAUUAAUCAAGAACGAAAGCUAG
rnacentral:rRNA from 1 species